rnacentral:rRNA from 1 species
GAUGAACGCUAGCGGCAGGCUUAAUACAUGCAAGUCAAGGGGUAGCAAGAUUGUAGCAAUACAAUUGUUGACGACCGGCAAACGGGUGCGGAACACGUACACAACCUUCCUACAAGUGGGGAAUAGCCCAGAGAAAUUUGGAUUAAUACCCCGUAACAUAGCGAUGUGGCAUCACAUUGCUAUUAUAGCUUCGGCGCUUGUUGAUGGGUGUGCGGCUGAUUAGAUAGUUGGCGGGGUAACGGCCCACCAAGUCUACGAUCAGUAGCUGAUGUGAGAGCAUGAUCAGCCACACGGGCACUGAGACACGGGCCCGACUCCUACGGGAGGCAGCAGUAAGGAAUAUUGGACAAUGGACGCAAGUCUGAUCCAGCCAUGCCGCGUGAAGGAUUAAGGUCCUCUGGAUUGUAAACUUCUUUUAUAAGGGACGAAAAAAGGUCUUUCUAGAUCGUCUGACGGUACCUUAUGAAUAAGCACCGGCUAACUCCGUGCCAGCCGCCGCAGAA